AUUCAGAAAGUUAUUUUGCUACAGUGUGUUGUUCCUCUUUGCCCUUUUCUGCAUUUGACACUUAGUGGCGUCCUGUGCUAAAUUCAUCAAAUUUAAGUGCUUGUAUUGAAGUUGUAUCUGCGAAAAGUUGGAAUAAAGCAAAACAAAUACAUAAAUCAAUGUUACUAUAACGAGGGCAUACUGUAUGCCACACUCCUUCAUGUGGAACUUCGUUGUUAAAAAUUCUGGCUUUCGUUGUUUUUGCAGGCUUCACUCAUCGCAAAUUUCCUAGUACCAACAUGCCUCGUUUAAAGAACACCCUGGCCUCGCCUCUCGCAUGGGACCUAAAUCCUCCGAAGAGCCCAAGUUGGACACCUCAUACCUGAAACAGGAGCUGCGGAUUUCGUGGUGAAAGUGGUUACUCGAAGCCCGACUGGAGGCUCAAGCGGUCCGGUGAACUUAUCGCCGGACUUCAACGGCGCUCCUCGUUCAGCAAAUUAAAUGGGUUGCACAGUAGCUCAACAGUGA
rnacentral:lncRNA from 1 species